rnacentral:rRNA from 1 species
GACGAACGCUGGCGGCGUGCUUAACACAUGCAAGUCGAACGGAAAGGCCCUGCUUUUGUGGGGUGCUCGAGUGGCGAACGGGUGAGUAACACGUGAGUAACCUGCCCUUGACUUUGGGAUAACUUCAGGAAACUGGGGCUAAUACCGGAUAGGAGCUCCUGCUGCAUGGUGGGGGUUGGAAAGUUUCGGCGGUUGGGGAUGGACUCGCGGCUUAUCAGCUUGUUGGUGGGGUAGUGGCUUACCAAGGCUUUGACGGGUAGCCGGCCUGAGAGGGUGACCGGCCACAUUGGGACUGAGAUACGGCCCAGACUCCUACGGGAGGCAGCAGUGGGGAAUAUUGCACAAUGGGCGGAAGCCUGAUGCAGCAACGCCGCGUGCGGGAUGGCGGCCUUCGGGCUGUAAACCGCUUUCGCCUGUGACGAAGCGUGAGUGACGGUAAUGGGUAAAGAAGCACCGGCUAACUACGUG